GAUAAGAGUCGUAUACAAAUCUAUAACUGGCGUAUCUGUCACCAAUAAGGCAUACAUGCACAAUAGGUAUGUACCUGAAACUAUAAGAGGUACUACCCAGCGACUAGUUAUUGCAGUGACUCUUUCGAACUUCAAGAAUAAGGUACUUCCUGAGCAAGGGAAUUCUAGUGCAAAAUUUUGAAGAAGUUACACCCAGAAAACGAUUUUAUUGAAUCAUCAACAUUUUUCUUGGUUGAUCCAACCAUAUUUUUUGGUUGUUUUAACCAAAUAUUUCAAUAGAUAAAGUAUUAGGUUGGUCCAAUAAACAAAAUUGGUUGGGUUUAUCAAAUAUUUGGUUGAAUCAACCAAAACUGGUUUGAUUCAAGGGGAUUUUCAUUUUGGUUCAAGAAAAUUUUUUUCUGAGUGUAAACUAGAAUUCAGAAGAUCCUGGAGUGGAAAUUAUAAAAACUGGACAAGUACUUUUCCAAAAUCUCACCCAGUGCAGGAUGUGGAAUGAACGGAUCUUAAUCUGGAGGCCCGGCAUCCAAUGGAUUACUAAAGUGGUGCCGGGCCAAUCGUUCCUACACAUCCUGCACAGGUGAGUCAAUGAAAGAUUUGAAAAUUAUGAGGGAACGUCCAUUAAUUACGCAAGGAUUUCUGUAACAAAAAUUUACCCUCUCCCCUUCUUAUAUGAGAUUCCAACCGAAGAGAUGAUCCCUCAAAAGUGCGAAGGCGAACAACUUCCCCGUUUUAUCUGCUGGAGUAAAAUAAUUACAGACUACAAAUCCUUGAUCUAAAAAAAGAUGUCGAUACUCGAGCCUAUCAUCUUGGAAACUUUAUGGAAUGACAUGUUCCUGGAAUUUAUUCGGCUUCACUCAAUAUCCUUUGCCAUCAGCUGGGUUAGCAAAAUCUCGAGUUCAUAAUUCUUUGAUCUCGAGUGUGUAAAUUAAAAGUAGGCUCUCUCUCUCUCUCUCUCUCUCUCUCUCUGGUACUUUCAGUUCCACCAAAACGAAUCGAAAAGAAAGAACGACAUGACCGCCUAUGAGAGGGACAAAGAAAAUGUUGGGAAAUAUCUACCAACGAAUUCAAUAUUAUUUUUUUUUAGUCACUACGCGGCAAGUCUUUGUUGAGUUUUGUCCCAUCUGAACGAUUUAGGGAUGCGGGGCGUGAUAGCAAUGGCAUAGUCCGCCCCACAGAGGACAUAGACGUCCCGGAGAGAAACAGGAUUUAGAGGAAAAAAUGUCUGAUCCCAAAGAGAAUGCACCAUUUUUCUAUAAAAAUAUGGCUGCGAAGAGUUUCCUAAAAAUUAGUUCCGAAAUUCAGGUUUUUUGGCAAGAAUAUAUCAAAUUUAGUGUAUAGAGUACACAGUGGAUCAACGCAUAGCACAGAGUGAAUUACGUUAAAUAAUUAGGGAAUUUUAGUAGUAAUUUUUUUCUGUAAAAAAUGUAUCCACUUGUAUAAAGUUCCUUCAUCAUUUUGAAAACGGAAAUUAUUAAUUUUUUUCUGCUAUACAAAAUGAGUUAAUUAGGAUUAUCCACUGUGGACUGUUUACCCUAAUUUUCUUUCGCCAUUUUUCGGAUGUAAAAUUUUACUGAUAUUGGUAUUAAUUUCAGAGCACGAAAUAUCAGUAAAUUCAGAGAUUUUCAUAUUAUUUUCGAGUUCAU